GUUUACGUGCUCCAGUCAAGUGGACGGAAAUGAGUGCGCGUAUUUCCCAUUAUACUUCUAAUUAUCUAAUAUUUCGUAUAUUAUGUUCCAAAUCAAUUGGUUCCUAAGAAAAUAAGCUAUUGUUCUGCAAAAUAAGAAAACAAAUGAAAAAAUACUUUACUUAUUAUAAAAAUGAGGCAGGCGUUCUACGUACACACGCAUACUCAAUGCCAGCCACUCGACCUGACGCGGAUAGACACGCACCAGAGCACACGUACAUGGAGAGAGAUAAUGGAGAAAGAUUUAAACGAAGGUACUUGACGAUAAAUAUGGGAGAACGUAUUACGGACAUCCACUAUCACGAAAUUCCUUUCAUAACAUACUAAACAGAUAAAGCUGCUCACGGUUAGAUGCUUUGAAGAAGAUAAAUCCCUCGCAUUUCCUCGUACCAGGGUUCCAAGCUUUUUAAAACAGCGCCAUAUUGGUCUUUCGAAACUUCGUCGUCAAUCACAAUUUUUAACUGCCUCUUGAAACACGCUUCUGGUUAAAUAUGAUUCAAUAAUGCUCAUCAAGAGAAAUAUUCUCGUCGCCAUGAUAAAAUCUCUGUAAAAAUUCAAUAAAUUAUUAUAAAAUAUA